CGCUGGCGGCGUGCCUAACACAUGCAAGUCGAACGGAGUGUUACGCUGAAAUGAUAGAAGCUUGCUUAAGGAUUUUCUUGUGACACUUAGUGGCGGACGGGUGAGUAACACGUGAGCAACCUGGCUCUAAGAGGGGGACAACAGUUGGAAACGACUGCUAAUACCGCAUAACAUAUACUUUAGGCAUCUUUAGUAUAUCAAAGAUUUAUCAGCAUGAGAUGGACCCGCGUCUGAUUAGCUAGUUGGUGAGGUAACGGCUCACCAAGGCGACGAUCAGUAGCCGACUUGAGAGAGUGAUCGGCCACAUUGGGACUGAGACACGGCCCAAACUCCUACGGGAGGCAGCAGUGGGGAAUAUUGCACAAUGGGGGAAACCCUGAUGCAGCGACGCCGCGUGAGCGAUGAAGUAUUUCGGUAUGUAAAGCUCUAUCAGCAAGGAAGAUAAUGACGGUACUUGACUAAGAAGCCCCGGCUAACUACGUG
rnacentral:rRNA from 1 species